rnacentral:rRNA from 1 species
GAUUCCCCUAGUAACUGCGAGUGAAGCGGGAAAAGCUCAAAUUUAAAAUCUGGCGGUUUCACCGUCCGAGUUGUAAUUUAGAGAAGUGUUACCCGUGCUGGACCGUGUACAAGUCUCCUGGAACGGAGCGUCGUGGAGGGUGAGAAUCCCGUACAUGACACGGACUACCAGGACAUUGUGGUGCGCUCUCGAAGAGUCGAGUUGUUUGGGAAUGCAGCUCAAAAUGGGUGGUAAAUUCCAUCUAAAGCUAAAUAUUGGGGAGAGACCGAUAGCGAACAAGUACCGUGAGGGAAAGAUGAAAAGAACUUUGGAAAGAGAGUUAAACAGUACGUGAAAUUGCUGAAAGGGAAACGCUUGAAGUCAGUCGCGUUGUGCGGGAUUCAGCCUGGCUUUUGCUUGGUGUACUUCCUGUACGAUGGGUCAGCAUCAGUUUUGACCGGUGGAUAAGGGCGUAGGGAAUGUGGCAUCCUCGGAUGUGUUAUAGCCUUGCGUCGCAUACAUCGGUUGGGACUGAGGAACUCAGCACGCCGCAAGGCGGGGUUUUACCACCUUCGUGCUUAGGAUGCUGGCAUAAUGGCUUUAAUCGACCCGUCUUGAAACACGGACCAAGGAGUCUAACAUGCCUGCGAGUGUUUGGGUGUUAAACCCGAGCGCGUAAUGAAAGUGAAAGUUGAGAUCCCUGUCGUGGGGAGCAUCGACGCCCGGAGCAGAACUUUUGGGACGCAUCCGCGGUUGAGCAUGUAUGUUGGGACCCGAAAGAUGGUGAACUAUGCCUGAAUAGGGUGAAGCCAGAGGAAACUCUGGUGGAGGCUCGUAGCGAUUCUGACGUGCAAAUCGAUCGUCGA